AGAGAUUUAAAUGUUUGUUUGUUUUUCUACUAAUAUUGGUUUUAAAGGAUUCUGCGUCUUUCUGCAGCUCUCCAGUAUCUGGUUUAUAGGCGAUCUAUUGUGGAUUAACGCACCAACAAGUUCUCCGUACAUGGCGUGUAACGCACAGUUGACCUCGAACACAUCUAUUAUUAGACAUCCAACAUAUGGCUCGGAAUGAGUGAGACCUAACGGUGCCUGCCUGCGGCGCGCAUGUUGCGUCAAGUUAGUCGAGUUUCACAGUUUACAUGUCGGCCAGUCCGAUAGUCCUGCUGCUGUUUUAGCACGAGGGGAACGUUCACAAUGCUGUGUUACUGUGAGUAUAUCGGUGGUUAUCGUUUCAUCGUUGGUCGUCUCUCAAACUGCUGUCUCUCCGGUUUCAGACUGAUGCCCCGCUGAUGUCCUCCGUGUCCCGCUGCUCUGCUCACACUCCAGCCGGCUGUUUAAGAUGUUUCAUCUCCACGAUGCCAAAGGAAGGACCAAAGGAGCUACAGCUGGCAUGAGCGUCGGACAAACCCCACAGCAGCCAGAGAUGCCCUGCAGCAUUGCAACUGUACAUUAAACUGAUUUUACUGUGUACUACGGUGUUUAGUGGAAGAGUUGUUUAUCCAUUAUAAAGCUAAAAGUGGGUCCUUUAAGUUAAUACAGUGGAUUUCCAUUAUUAUCAUUUGUCACUGAUAUGGAUAAUUUACCGUUAUUGUAUGUUUUUCUAGCAAAAUAAUCCAAUGGGGCCAAAUACUGUCAUGAUGUUGUUUUACUCCUGAGCUGGUCAGGUUUUACAGCAGGACUGGAAACUGAUAAAGGAAAUAAAACAUUCUGUGUCUGAGCACUCA